rnacentral:lncRNA from 1 species
GACAGUCUCAUUCCAUUAGUUGGCCGAUGUAUAUUACACAUUAUAUUAUUAUUAUUAUAUUUAUUUUAUUUUUAUUUUUUCGUUCCAUCUCGGGAAUUUUUAUUUUUUUCUCCGCACACCGCACAUGUGCUGGUCUAUGUAUGUGUGUGUGCAUUACAGAAUAGUGUGUCGUCCUUCUGCCAUGAUCUAAUAUAAUAUAUUCAUUUGGAAAUCUCGAAUAGUCCGACAAUAGUCACCACCACACGUGUCCCCAAUGGCUUUUUGCACACACUAAUACAUUAUAUGCAUGUUUGUAUUUGUUCGUCGGAUCAUAUCUCAUCACCUACUCGGUCCAGGUCAGAGUCAUCAACAAAUUAAUUAAUUCUGCUGAUACAAAAGUCGAAGAAUCAUUGAUAAAACUCGUGGAAUAGAAGAUAUUUAAACAUCGUAUUAAUAUUAUUUCGUGUAUGUAAUAAAAUAUAUACUACUACUUUGUCGUUUCGGUUAAAAAUUAGCUUACAGACGAGUAAGAAUUUAUUUGAAAUCGAUUGUAUAUGAUAAAACCCCAGGAGAUACUGUCAACAAGUAAAAACCGCAAGUCAAUUAUUGAAAGACGUACAAUUGUCUAAUUGGACGUUAAUCAGUUCAGUUUAAGGAGGAAAACUACCAAUUAAGUUCUACAGCAAUUAUUAUUUGCAGUGGUCUAAUACUAAGGAUUUCGAUUUUGGACGCGGGAGAAAACGAAAAAGGUAAAUUUACUUCCUACUAUUAAUUUCACACAUCCAAUCAACACAAGAUGACUUGUGGUUGGGAUGAAUGUAAAAUCACGAAAUUUUCGCGUUGACGAAACGCCCGAAAACAACGCAAUUCGUAUAAAUAUUUUGAGAAACCAUUGGGCGGUGACGACCGUGUUUCCGUUACGAAUAUCGCACUCGUUGCAGGGUGGCGUAGUCGCAGCCCAGUCCGCACGCACAUUACUACGCGCAUUUGUUGUAAAUAAUAAAAUAUAGGAGGGGUGUCCCUUGCGCGAGGGUAGUAGUACACUCGGUGUACGCUCUUGGAGGGGUGCGUGGACGCGUUUCACGUGCGCGUCACCACCAUCGUCACCGCCGGUGCGGAACCCAUGUACUCUUCUCCCGUAGUGGUUUAAUGCGCGGGACGGGGAGGGAGACAGGCCGGUAAGCGCCGCCGCAUGUGAACGCGUUGUUUUGGUUGGUGCAUGCUGUGCUCGCGCGCUCGCUUACUCGAUCGCUCGUGUUCGUGUUUACUGCGUAUGCGCGUCCACGUUCUUCUCUUCUGGUGCUGCACAACAUACGCGUACAUACCACCCUUCGGUGGUUGCUUGCCGCUGCUGCUACUGCUGCUGCAGGAAGGGGUCCGCGCGGGCAUCCUAACCGACGAUCUGUUGUCCCAGGUUAUGGGCGGUGUACGUGCGCGCGGUGUGUUAUUUACCGCGCACCGGUGCGUCGCAGUUUUCGGGUCCGAUCAGUUUUUACUUAACCCGCUGUGAUCGCGGUCCGCAAGAAUGUUUCAAACGCACUUCAGUUCCCGCGUCUUCUGUACCGCGCGCGUUUCGUGUGUCCGCCGCAAGAACACGAAAUGGUGCAAGUUCAAUUAUAAAGAUCAGAGGUAUUCAAAUUUUUCACUCAAGGGCCACAUAAAAUAUGAAAAGCUCUUAACAGGCCAAAAUAUGUGAACACAUGUAAUUUCUAAUUUUUUAGAUAUAUAAAAAUAUAAUUAUGUAAAAAACUUUGGAUCCUACACAUUUUUAGAUUAUUAGCUGAUUGUUAGGGGGGGGGGGGGGAAGAUAAAACUUGUUCACAGACUGUAGUUUGGAAACCUCUGAUAAGAUCAUUAGAACUUAAGUUACCUAAAAUAAUCGAUUUAUGUUUCAACAAUAAAUAGAAGCCGGUUAAAUCAAAAUAUAAAUUAUAUUUGAUUCUGUUUAAAACUGAAAUCAUUAGAUUUAAAUGAUUUUAGGCAUAUUGU